GGUAAAGCAACCAUGAGCAAAGCUAUCGGAAACUUCAGUUACCAAAAACAGGACAGGAUGUGAAACUUCACACCAAGUGUCAUGUGGCAGGAUGGGGAAGCAUGAAAAGAGACUCAUAAAAGUUUUGAAUACACCUUAACAGAAGUGAACAAACGUCGCUAUGAUACACCAAAAAAUACGCAAUGAUGCAGCGCACUAUAAUUCCAAGCUGAUUCUUGAAAACUGCACGAUCUGUGCUGGGGGUAGAAAGGUGAAGAUGGGGGUCAGUGGAUGAUCUUGAGCCCUCAGGAACAAGAUGGCGGUUGUCUGGAGACUGAGUGACUUUGCGGGGCCCAAGGAGGCCGAGUUCUGUGGCUGUGGACACCAGUGGUCAGAUCUGCUCAUAUCUCAGCAUAUCUUCAGGACGCACCUACCCCAGAAGGUGACAAGUGAAUGUGCUGCACACCACUUGUCACUGAGCCACCAUUCUGGUUCCAAGGCUGCGUCUCUCCACUGGACUAGUGAGAGGUUUGUCAGUGUUUUGCUCCUGGGUCUGCUUCCGGCUGCUUACUUGAAUCCGUGCUCUGCAUGGACUGCAACCCUCACUCUUCAUAGUCACUGGGGCCGUGGACAAGUUGUUACUACGUUCAUGGGUAUGCCUCGCAGAAAGCUGCCAAGGCAGGGCUUUUGGCACUUUCAGCUUUAACUUUGCUGGGCUUUGCUAUUUCAACUACCACAAUGCGAGCUCUGACCUUUUUGACUUUAUACUUUGAAGAACUGAUGUAUGCCUCUUUGCUUCUGCCUUGUCAUGCCAUUCAACUCACAAUAAGGAAGAAAUAACAGAUAAGUCCAUUGGUGGACAGCCUUCUCUUAAUCACAAGAUUAUUUUCGAAUUUAAUUUUUUUUUUUUUUUUUGAGAAGGAGUCUCCCUCUGUCUCCAGGCUGGAGUGCAGUGGCGUGAUCUUGGCUCACUGAACCUCCAAUUCUCUGGUUCAAAUGAUUCUCCUGCCCCAGAAUUUAAUCUCUGAGGAAAAGGGUUGAGAGGAAUUAUGUCUAAGAAACUGAGACUGAGUUCUGUAUUCUGGUAAGUUAAUGGGGUUGCCUCCCAGCUUCUCAUAGGACUCACGGUAUAACUAAACAUGAUAUAUGAGCUUUUGCCUUUUAAUUUAUCAAUCUCUAAAGAGAAUCCAGCUUUAUAACUAUUAAUAUAUGACCAAACUUCUGUAUUUGCCCUGGGAAUAAUGGACAAAGGGAAAUAUUGUUAAUUCAUUAAUAAAAACUUUGCAGAAAAUUAGACAGUGUUUAGUUUUUGAAAACUUCCCUUUCUAUUCAGUAGACACCACCUACUGAAUAUACAUAUACUAGGGAAUUUUAAAAUUAGGAAAUGCUGAUGUCUCACAUUAUGAAUUUCUAAAUCCUAGGAGGAAAAGCUUGGAGUGCUUCUGAAUGUACAGAAGUUCCAUUUAAGGGCAAGUUUCCCCUUGUAGACAUAUCAAAAUAAUACAAAUUCUAAACAGAGACUUAAUUUUCAAAUGUAUUCUACUUGUUCUAAAACAAUCUGUCCACAAAUAUAAAACUAUAAAUAAUAAAAUGUUAUUUUCGUACUAUGGGAAUAUCUAAUGUGAAAAUGUAUUCUAUGAAAAUAAUUUUUUUUAAAAAUAAAGUGUUGUAUAAU